rnacentral:lncRNA from 1 species
GCAUACAACAGUGGAACUACUUUGUCUCAGAGCAGUCACUUGUCUACGGCAUCCUAAAGUAGAGCUGGUGUCAGAAUGUGGACCGGUUCCACAAAACCAACAACAUCAUGAUUCUGGUGGAUCUUAGAGGCCUGGUACCAGAAGUGUCCCGACCCUGUUUGCAAGAGCUUCAGAUCUUCCAGUACACGCUGGUUAACACUAAAAUGGUUACCCAUUGCCCCAGGACAUCUGCGUCAGCUACAAUGGUGAGUUCUGUACCGGUUCCCCUCACUGCUACAAAAGUCACACUUGUUGCCAUUUUAAUAGAAAAUUACAUCUACAGUACCCGACUCUAUGGUGUACCUGACUUUCUCUGGCUACAUGAAUGGGUAACUCCAAAAAAGAAUCCCACAGUAACAGAAAAAUUGUAGAAGUUAAUAAGUUGUGAGUUUGUCUAUUUGGCGGCAGGAUGAGGAGGACCAGGCGUAUCUGAUGGACGACAUGGGGAACAUUGAGCUCAGCUAGACACCCCCAGCGGAGAAGUACCAGGGGGGCUCGGCAGCAACACUUCCCCAGGGAGAUGAGGCAGAUGACCAGGCCUACCUGGAGGCCCUGGAGGAUGUCGAGAGAAGCACAGGCAAUUUGGCAGAGGAUGAUGUCCCAGAUGAGCUUCUGCUCCAAACCAUGACUGAGUUUGAGUCCCUCAAAGAUUUGUGCUUGUCGGGCCACUAAGUGCAUUUUCCUUCAGUUCUGUUCAUGGAGACAAAGGGUGAGCAGGCUUUUGCUCCAGCUCAGAAGGAACCCACCCCAUUCAACUACUAUGUACAUAUUAACUAAAUUACCUUGACUAACCGGUGCCCCCACACAUUUACUCUGUACAGGUACCCCCUGUAUAUAGCCUCGCUUGUUAUUUUACUGCUGCUUUUUAAAUAUUUGUUACUUUUAUUUUUCUAUUUUUUACUUAACACUUGUUUUUUUCUUAACUUCUUAAAGCAUUGUUAGUUAAGGGCUUGUAAGUAAGCGUUUCACUGUAAGGUCUACACUUGUUGUAUUCGGCGCAUGUGACAAAUAAGAUUUGAUUUGAUUCAAGGGCUUGAUGCUUAGUUGAAUUAAGUGUGUUGAGGUGCUGGGCUGGAACAAAAGCCUGCCAGCCUGUGAAUCUCCAAGAGCAGAAUGGAAGAAGACUGCAUUAGAGGGAGGUUAUACUUGUCCAACAGUUCAUUUCUAAUUUGUAAUACAGUAAUUCAGUACAAUCCUCAAUUUCAAUUAUUGGCUGUUAAUGCACUUUAUAAACAGAGGUUUUUCCCAAUGACCUAGGCCUAUUCAAUGCAAGGUGCGUUAUAGCAGGGGUCUCCAACAGGUUGAUUGUAAGCUACCAAUAGCUCGCAGCCCACCUAUGAGUAGCUCGCCAAACAAUUCUGAAAGUACAUGCAAUUUUUUUCACGUGUUCCUCGCAAACUGUCAAACAAAUCUCACAAGUAUCAGACACCACAAGCUCCCAGCUACUAUCUAGUCAAUGCAACAUUGACAGUAUCCCACCCCUGGUCAGCCACUAUUGGCUUGAAAACCCAAACCUAACAAUAUCUGCCAAAUUAAUUUCCAGGAAUAUUGCUAGUCUGUCUGCGUCGUGCGUUUGUCUAUCACUCCGUGUGUAGCCAGAUAUAACUGUCUUGUGGGUUGACAGAAAUACUUUCCCCAAACCUUCUCAAUUAUCAUAAGUAUAUCAUUUGUAUCUAUUAUUUGCAAACUUUGCCAUGAAAUGAGCAGCCGCAGUACAGAACCGACACAUUAGACGGCACAUUCCUCACUCUUUAGAUGCACAAUUAAAAGGCCAGAUGCGCAAUUAAAGGGUAAAUAUUUUUUGUUUUCUUCCAGAUUUAAGCAUUGACAUACUCAGAACAUCCAAUUUUGUUGUUUCUUUAUGAACAAUUGUUAUUGAGAGUGAAAACAAAAAAUCUAUACAUUUGAAAAAGUAGCUCUCAUGGUAGAAAAGGUUGUGGAGACCCCUGCGUUACAGCAUGGCGCACUAUAACAUACUUUUAAAGGUAAUUUACGGUUAAGCUGACAAUCUCCACAAACGUCUGUGAAAAAGAGCAUUGUCGGCUGUGUAGGGCGCUUCACAAUAAAGCACCUUGCAUUGAAUGCCGGCCCUACUGGUUGUUCUGAUAGCGUGCAAUUGUAGAUAGCUUGGUAGGAUGUUUCUGAUAACUGAACAUUGAUAAACUACCAACUCCUUACCUGUUUUCUGGUACUUGUUUGUUCUGGAUUAUUUUGACUGAAUUUAUAAACAUAUGACUGCAAACCAUUUAUCUGCAAAUUGAGUCAUCAAGCAUGUGUCCACAGGCAUGGAAGGAAGCUAAAGUAAUUCCACUGCCUAAAAAUAGUAAAGCACCCUAAGCUGGCUCUUACAGCUGUCCAAUCAGUUUGCUGCCUGUUCUUAGUAAACUGAUGGAGAGAAUUGUGCUUGACCAAAUACAUUUUACAUUUAAUCAUUUAGCAGACGCUCUUAUCCAGAGUGACUUACAGUAGUGAGUGGAUACAUUUUCAUUUGUACUGGUUCCCCGUGGAAAUCGAACCCACAACCCUGGCAUUGCAAGUGCCAUGCUCUACCAACUGAGCCACACGAUAUCAUUUUUCAAAGAAGUUAACUUCUGAAUUUCAGAUAUAGGGCACUCAACUUGUACUGCACUUACUCAAAUGAAAGAUGAUUGGUUAAAAUAAAUGGAUAAUAAGAUAGUUGGAGCUGUAUUGUUAGAUUUCAGUUCAGCCUUACUUAUUGAUCAUAAAUUGUUAUUGAAGAAACUCACUUGCUAUGACUUUACGUCACCUGCGAUCACAUGGUUGGAGAGUUAUUUAUCCAAUAGAACCCAGUGUUCAAGGCAGUUGCCUUGGUCUGUUAUGCUUCUCUAGUUUUACAAAUGAUUUGCCACAGGUCUUACACGAAGCUAGAAUGACUAUGUACGUGGAUGAUUCCACACUUAACAUGUCAGCACCCAAAGCCAGGGAGCUCACUGACAUUCUAAAUAAAGAGUUAGUAUCAGAAUGGGUAAUAGACUGGUCUUAAAUACAUAAAACUAAAGCAUUUUAUUUGGUUCAGAACCUAAGACCUAAACCUCAACUGGAGUUGUGCAUAAAGGGUGUGACCACUGAGCAAGUUGAGGAAGCGAACUCCUAGGUAUGACAGGAUGGUCAAUUAUCAUGAUCAAGUCAUAUUGACAAAGUUGUGAAGAUGGGGAAGGGGUAUGUCUGUUAUAAAAAUAUGUUCUGAGUUUUUUUAUACAAAAAUCAACUGUACUGGUUGUUAAGGCUCUGGUCUUGUCCCACCUUGAUUACUGUGCGUCCGGUAAUGUGGUCAAGUACGGCAAAGAAAGACCUAGCAAAGCUGCAGUUGGCUCAACACAGAGCAGCACAUAGAACUAACACGCCAGUCCAUCCUGGUUGAGGGUUCAUGAUAGAUUAACGGCUUCUCUUCUAGUUUUCAUGAGAGAUAUUACUGCAAUGAAAAUUCCAGAUUGUCUACAUAAUCAAAUAACAUUCAGCUCAGAGACCCAUGCAUAUCCCACAAGACAUGCCACCAGGGGUCUCUUCAUAGUCCCCAAGUCCAAAACGAAUUCACGGUAACGCAUAGUAUUAUACAGAGCCAUGAUCGCAUGGAACUCCAAACACUCAAGCAAACAGUAAAUUUACCUUUAGGAAAUGGAUUAAACAUCUCAUGGAACGGUGGGGACUGUGAGGCGACAACAUUUAGUUGUAUAUUGUAUUUCUUAUGUGUGACUGUCCUUGUCUAUCAGUGUUACUUGUCAUGUGUUUUGUGGACCCCAGGAAGAGUAGCUUUUGUAGAAGCAUCUGCUAACAGGAAUCUAAAUAAAACCAUGCAUUUUAUAAAAUGAAGUUUAACGUUUUUGUGAUGACUGAAAUCAACAGUUUCAUCGUAUUGCG